ACGUUUGUCUCUCCCGUCGCUUCGAUUUGUUUUCUUUCGUUUUGGGCUUGGUUUCGCCACAGAGAGCGCGGGAGGGGAGGUUGGUAAAAAAAGGAAUAGCGGUGAGAUAGUGUGUUCGAUUUUCUCAGCAAUUUUAACUCGGAGGUUACUUGUGUUCGAUUUUCUCAUCGCUGCGGUGGAAGAAAACAAAUCCGUCUUCCUUGGCCCUUUCAAAUUUGUAGGGUUGUAUUUCAUAAAGAUUGAGGCAGGAAAACCACUUUUGUUUAAGUUACUCCUAUUUGGAUUCAGCUGGCAUGUCAAAUUUCCGAAAUGGGUGCAAUUUUGCAGCUGGAAGGGCUACUACACUUCCAGCAACUGCAACAUCUAUCUGCCCCUUUUCAUUUGGGAUUCAGGUCUCUCAGUUUUUGCGAUUCAAAGCCCAGGCUCUUCAAUUGCUAGCUGCUAAAAAGCGACAGCUCCUCAAAUGAGAUGGCAAACGAGCUGUUUCCUGCUGCCAAUUAGGCAACUGACAUGACAGAAUCAACCGAGGACACUUCUGAGGAGUUGAUGUAAAGUAGUUGGUUCAAACUGCAAACAUAUAAAAUUUUUGCUCGAGUCUAAUCAGAUUUUGCUAAAGUAGUUGGGUAGCAUCUCAUAUUUUGAAAUUCGUAAAUACACAUCUGGUCAAGAUACCAGAUUUUGGAAUCUGUAAAACGAUACUAUCUUCCGUUAUAUAAUACAUCUAAUGUUUGUAA